rnacentral:rRNA from 1 species
AUUGAACGCUAGCGGGAUGCCUUACACAUGCAAGUCGAACGGAGCGGCGAACGGGUGAGUAAUGUCUCGGAAUGUGCCCAGUAGCGGGGGAUAACUACGCGAAAGGGUAGCUAAUACCGCAUACUAUAGGAGCUGCCGAUAUCGGAUUAGCUAGUUGGUGGUGUAACGGCUCACCAGGGCGACGAUCCGUAACUGGUGUGAGAGGACGACCAGGCACACUGGGACUGAGACACGGCCCAGAAGCCGACGGGAGGCAGCAGUGGGGAAUUUUGGACAAUGGGGGAAAGCCUGAACCAGCCAUCCCGCGUGUGCGAUGAAGGCCUUCGGGUUGUAAAGCACUUUUGGCAGGAAAGCGGUACCUGCAGAAUAAGCACCGGCUAACUACGUGCCAGCAGCCGCGGUAAUAC